UACGAAGGGUGCAAGCGUUACUCGGAAUCAUUGGGCGUAAAGAGCGUGUCGGCGGCCCGGUAAGUCCGCUGUGAAAGUCCAGGGCUCAACCCUGGGAUGCCGGUGGAUACUGUCGGGCUCGAGUCCGGAAGAGGAGUGUGGAAUUCCUGGUGUAGCGGUGAAAUGCGCAGAUAUCAGGAGGAACACCAAUGGCGAAGGCAGCACUCUGGGACGUGACUGACGCUGAGACGCGAAAGUGUGGGGAGCAAACAGG
rnacentral:rRNA from 1 species